rnacentral:rRNA from 1 species
AUUGAACGCUGGCGGCAUGCCUUACACAUGCAAGUCGAACGGUAACGCGGGGAAACCUGGCGACGAGUGGCGAACGGGUGAGUAAUGCAUCGGAACGUGCCCAGUAGUGGGGGAUAGCUCGGCGAAAGCCGGAUUAAUACCGCAUACGACCUACGGGUGAAAGCGGGGGACCGCAAGGCCUCGCGCUGUUGGAGCGGCCGAUGUCAGAUUAGGUUGUUGGUGAGGUAAAGGCUCACCAAGCCGACGAUCUGUAGCUGGUCUGAGAGGACGACCAGCCACACUGGGACUGAGACACGGCCCAGACUCCUACGGGAGGCAGCAGUGGGGAAUUUUGGACGAUGGGGGCAACCCUGAUCCAGCCAUGCCGCGUGCGGGAAGAAGGCCUUCGGGUUGUAAACCGCUUUUGUCGGGGAAGAAACGCUCUGGAUUAAUACCCUGGGGUAAUGACGGUACCCGAAGAAUAAGCACCGGCUAACUACGUGCCAGCAGCCGCCGCAGUAA